rnacentral:lncRNA from 1 species
GUCCGCGCCGCCUGCUCUGCGCCUGCCCCCCUGGCGGGGGCGGCCGCGGGGACCAACGGGGCGCCGCCACUGCGGGGGCGACCAGAGGGCGCUGCCGGGGUCCCCCGCACCCGCUGCUGGCCACUGCGAGGGAGCCCCGGGACCCAUCCGCAGGGGAUUGUGGCGCAGGGGAGCAGGAUUCGUCCGGGAAGGAAACAUCUGGUGGGGAGGCGGGGGCAGCUGGGCUCAGCGGGCUGCCCCCGGGCGCCUCGGCUCCCGCCUCCCGGGCGGCCGCGGAGAGAGGCCCCGGCCCGCGUGCGCUCAGGGGCCGCCCCGCCCUCCCGCUGCCAGCUGCUGCGCGAGGUCUCCUUCCCACGCGCCCGGCGCUGGGCCCGCCCGCCCUGCGCCCGCCCGCCCUGCGCCCGCCCUGCGCCCGCCCUGCGCCCGCUCCCCUCGCCCUGGACCGGCCGCCGGCCUGAGCGGAGGGCACCUCGCGGCCCGCGGGCUCCCGCGCGCUCCCGGCCGGCGCCGGCCCCGCGCCCGCGCGCUCGGCUCCCCCGGCCCCUCCGCCCCCCUGAGCGCCGACGCAGACCCAGGCCUCAGCCGGGGCCUCGAGGCCGGUGCACCCCGUUUCCCGUUCCCUCUGAGUUUCAUAGCUGUCUAAAGAAUUCGUUUUUGCGUUUGUUGUGUCUAAUUAUACGGCCGAAGUGGCGGCUCACGCAGAGAGGCCCAGGGAAAGAUGUGCUGGCCAAGCUGCGCCCCGGGGAGCCCGAGCGCCUCCAAGCCUCCCACCCGAGGGGCGGACUCCGACGGCGGCAGGUGGCCUCCCCACUCCCAGGGGCCUCCUGGCUCCUAGGACUCCGGAAAGCUCUCUGGGAUUCUGCUUCAGGUCCCCAGCCGCCCUUGCUCUCAAGCCUGUCCCCGCGCCACCCCGGGGAGGGGGACGCAGUGGGACGUGCAAAGCCCUCCAGGGCAAACCAGACCCCGAUGACUCGUUCUGGGCUCGGGGCGCAUCCGGCAGCCUGGGCCAGUGUCCUCCGUCCUGCCCGGGAGCCGCGCAGCUUCUCCGCCGCCGGCCUAAGCCUCGCGACGGCCCAGGGCCAGGGGCCUCGUCCCGGCCCCGGGUCCCCUAGCACCCUCGUUUCUGAACGAGGCCAGACCGCGGAGGGAGCCGCUGUGCCUGCGGCCCCCGCGUGA